UUUCCCAUCAAAAUUUCGGAGCGCCGCCGCCGCGCCGACCGCUUCAGCCAGCUCCGCCUCAGCCUGGCCCAGCCGCCGUCCUCAGCGUCCGGCCACGCCGUCGUCCGCCGCGUCCCCCGCCGCGCCUCGGCUCCUCCGCGGCCGGCGUCCAGGGCGGGCUGGCGUGCCGCGCGCCAUGCACGGCCGGCGUCCAGGGCGCCCGGCCUGCCGCGUGCCGCGGCCGGCUUGGGCAGUCAGGGGUGGGCCAAGCGGGCCCUCCGGCGUUGGCGGGAGCCGUGCGCCUCGCCCUGUGUGCGGUGCCCGGCGCCGCCGCCGUAUGCUGCCGCCGUUGGCGCACGGCCUUGCCGGGAGCCGUGCGCCGAGCCGCGCGUGCGGUUCCCUGCGCCGCCGCCGUGAGGUGCCGCCGUGGCCCUCCGGACUGGCGGGAGCCCUGCGCGGCCGGCCUGAGCUCCCGCCGUAAGGCACCUUCGGCGUUCGCCGUGCGGCGAGCCGUGCGGCUUGCGGCCUGGGCAUCCGGCCUGCUCGGAGGGCCUCCGCCUCCCGACGGAGACGGCGGGGAGGACGCUCGAGUAGCUCCCGUCCAGGGUCGUCGCUGUCGUGCCGCGCGGGAAGGGCGAGGACGAGUUCGGCGAGGAGGCGUGGACCAAGGAUAAAUCUAUAUCAGGAUUUAUAUCCUAUGCUCUCUGUGCAGCUGAUGAGGCUUUGAAGGUGCAAAUUGGUUGCCUUCAGAAGAUGAGAAGAAAGAAAAAAUGAUCUGUUGGUUCCUGGGUUCUUAGUGUGGUGCUGGUUCGGAUUCCCCUGCUGCUUGUUCUGUAUAUGCAAACCUCCCCCCACCCCCUCCUGUGAUGUCUUGUGCUAAUCUGAGUAUAUGUCCAUGCCUACAAUCUGUUCAUGUAUAUAUGGCAGUGAUGUUUUUUCAGCUGUCUAUGCCUAUGAAAUUUUCCUAAUCUGUACAUGUGGCCAUUACAUUGUUAUUUUUUUUGUUUAUGCAUAUUUCUUCCAUUCAUGUGAUGUUAGUUCCAGUUUAUUUAUCAACUAUCCCAUUGACAUCUAUAUUAAAACACAUUCAAUGUGUGGAAUUGUAUAAAUGGAUUUGCAAGACAAGAGAUGCAAGCUAUUUGCUUGGGCUCCUCAUCUUAUCACAGCCAUGUAUGCAUUCUUUCUGAGUAGAAUUAUGUGAUACUGUGUUAGCACGGGCCAAUUUACUAGUCGACCCACUAAAGCACCAAAGCGAUUUUUGCUUGGUCUACCCCGUCGACGCCCCCCCCCCCGAGAGAGCACCUCCAUGCGCACCAAAAAAUUGUACCCACGCAAUCCCCUACAACACAAAACGGAGGGACCAGAUUUCAUCGGCCUCCAAACGGACGGACGAGAGCAAAAGGCUUCAACGCCGCCCACGUCCACGCGGGCUCCAAAUCCGCCGUAAGCUGCCUUAACGCCACUUUAGUAUCGGGUCCAAAUUUGAAAGUUCUCAAAACCAUUUUAGUACCGGGCCAAGCCACCAGCUGAUACUAAAUUUUGCAUUUUAGUACCAGUCGGUGUUACUUCGAAAUGAAUGCAUCUCCGACUCAGUCACAAGUGAUGCAUAUGUGAGAUGGUAAGGAAACAACAUGUGAAGCCGGAGGUCAUGGGUUCGAAUCCUCAUGAUCGCGCACGCGCAUCUACGCAUGAAAAUUUUGUGUAACUUGGGACUUGGGACGAUGCGCGUGUGUAGGCCUCCAAGGGGUUUGUCAAUUUUUUUUUUGGGCUCAAAACCAUUUAGUACCGGUGCGUGUGACGUCCCAUUUAGUACCGGAAAACCGGUACCGGUCGGGCGCCCGAUACUAAAUAGGGGUUUCCGACCGGUACUAAUAGCCUUUUUCUCUGGCUGUGACCGAACAAGCCCUAAUAUACACUAGGCCGGAAACAAUUUGGCGUGGCGGCCAAAUCGUAUCUGUGCUGGCGGGUGGGAGGCCCGCCAGCACUCGUGUGCCAGCACAAAUGGCAAUUUGUGCUGGCGGGCCGCCAGCAGAGUUUGCAUCUGUACUGGCAGACUAUUUAACACGCCCGCCAGCACAAAUUGCCAUCUGUGCUGAUGGGUGGCUUAACUAACCCGCCAGCACAAAUACAAAAAAGAAAAAGAAAGAAGCCCGCUGAGCACAUCACGGGCCCGGCGAGCCCAUCCGCCAUCGGCGUAGGUGUCCGCACGCCCGCCGCACGCACGGGCGCCGCUGCUGGAUCUAGCCUCACCGCCAAGGCCUCGCCCGAGCCUCUACUCGGCCUCGCCUGCGUGCCGUCCCGGCCUUGUCCGGGCUGCCGACCACCGGAUCCAGGCCUGCACCGCCGCUCGACUUCGCCCACGCGCCGUCCCGGCCUCGUCCGGGCUGCCGACCGCCGGAUCCGAGCCAGCGUCGCCGCUCAACCUUGCCCGCGCGCUGUCCCGGCCUCGUCCGGGCCGCCGACCGCCAGAUCCGGGCCCGCGCCGCCACUCCGCCUCGCCCACGAGCCGUCCCGGCCUCGGCCGCGCCGCCGACUGCCGGAUCCCGGCUGUGCCGCUGCCUCGCCCUCACCUGCGCGCCGCCGCCUCGUCCUCACCCGCGCGCCGCCAUUCGCGCGCGGGGAGGGAGAAACGGGAUGGGAGGGGAGCCGCGCCGGUGUCCAGCUUCUUGGCGCAGGGGAAGCGUGCGAAGGGGCGUGGCGGCGGCGGAGGCAGUGGGGGGGGGGAGAAUGAGACUGAGAUGAAAUCUCAAACCCUAAUAGUAUAUAUAUAUUAGUAAACCCUGGGUAUUCAGUAGUGGAACCCCCCAACCCGACCAUCACGCCGAGCUGAGCUCAACCCACCGCCCCGUGGCCGGUUUUCUGUCCGGCCGGUUCCUCCAAACGGUUUUCUUUUUGGUUCCCAGUUCCCAGAUCGUGGCCACGAUCUCACGACACGGUGUCCUGCAGGGAUCCUAAUCUUCCCCCUCGCUCCGCUCCGGUGCCGCGGUGCCACCCUGCGCCUCCCGCUCCGGUGCCGCCCUGCGCUGCCCGCUCCCGGUGAUGCCGCUCCGAUCCUCCCAUCGCCGAUCCGGUGAAUGGCGCCUCCCGCACGCCAGCUACUGGCCAGGCCCUGCGCAUCCUCACAUUCAAGGCUUCCCCGCGUCAGAUCGGGAUUGUGGGUGGUGGUUUCUUCGAUUUCGUCGCCAGGAUAGAGUGCCCUUCGUUCGAUCGGCUACCUCAUGCGGGAUGGGGGCGAGGAUGCAAAGGCGACGGAGACCUGCAGCAGCUCAGCUUCCUCACGGUCUCCUCAAGCUUGCAAUUUCUUCGAAGGUUUUAUCCUCGGUAUGCAUAGUGCCAUUACCUCCCCUCCACUCAAUUCCCACGGUUUUGCUUUAUUUCCCACGGAUGUGUGGAUUUGUUUAGGUAGUAAGCUCUUAGUAAUCCCCAUGACCAAAAGGGACAUGGAUAUCUUCUUGAUUCGUCAUCGUAGGAUGGCCCAGAGAGACUUGGCGCGGCGGCGGAGCGUUCCACAGCCACCCACCCGUCUGCUGGUGAGGUCUUCCCAGAUUGAAGAUUGGUGCUUCAAGCAGUCAAUUCUCUUGUUUCUGCUGCCGGCAUCAGUGGCUGCUACAUGACACAACCGACGGCUUUGUUUGGUGGGCAAGCUGACUUCCUCCCUAUGAUGUUGAUGAUACGGAUCAAACGACGGCCAGUGCAUUAGUCUACUUAGAUGCCGGUGCCAUGUUUUGUGCAAGAACAAGAACAACAACCUCGAACCCAUACUGGACAAAGCACGAGAGUUUACCUCUCACUUGCGUGCAUUGUGAGGACACAAGGAGCUGAUGGGCAAGCUGGUUCAUACCAGCUUUCAGCUUGAGCUCCAAUGUUGUCUCCAUGAACAUCAUGGAGACCAUUGCCAGAGUCUUUGUCGAGCCAUUGAUGUUCAUCAGUUGGGGGUAGGGGAGGUCCACACCAUAAUCUUUUGUGGCAUCUCCUCUAUCCAGCUUCUCAUGGACCAUGGCGAGCUUGGCCAUCGGAAUCAGAGGAUGGAUUCUGGUACGAGGUCAGUGCAUAUGAUGCCUAUCAAUCCGAGGAGAACAAGGUGGUUUAGGAGUCCCAGAUGACUGGGGCUAUCCGGAGGAUGGAGGAGGUUCUGCAGCAGGUAAUUCUGGUAUCCAAGUCGAUUGGGGAAACCGAAUUAGAAGCAAAACUUGAGGAGGCAGUCAGCAAGAUCAAGAGGCGCAUAGUAUCCACUGCAUCUUUGUAAUUGUAACAUGUAUUGACGGUGUCAUAAUUUCGUAAGAGCUCCCAAGAGCAUAGAGAAAUUAAGUCUCUCUUAGCUAUUUCGCUCCAAGUGUUGUUGGCCUGAUGGAGAUGUCUGGUGGAAACAUGGAACAGUGAUGUGGCAGGCAAAGUUUUGUUAGUGUUGUUAACCUUGUACGUAGGGAUGAAAACAGAUCGGAUACGGACGGCUAUCACUGAUAUCGUAUUUGUUUUCAUAUUUGUGUUCGAAUACGGUGUCUGAUACGGAUAGUGUUAGUUUUUGUUGAAUAAGAUUGUAAUAAAUAUCGACAUUAUAAAAAUGUAACUUUUGAGCAUUCGGAUA